rnacentral:rRNA from 1 species
UGGGGAAUAUUGCACAAUGGGCGCAAGCCUGAUGCAGCCAUGCCGCGUGUAUGAAGAAGGCCUUCGGGUUGUAAAGUACUUUCAGCGGGGAGGAAGGGAGUAAAGUUAAUACCUUUGCUCAUUGACGUUACCCGCAGAAGAAGCACCGGCUAACUCCGUGCCAGCAGCCGCGGUAAUACGGAGGGUGCAAGCGUUAAUCGGAAUUACUGGGCGUAAAGCGCACGCAGGCGGUUUGUUAAGUCAGAUGUGAAAUCCCCGGGCUCAACCUGGGAACUGCAUCUGAUACUGGCAAGCUUGAGUCUCGUAGAGGGGGGUAGAAUUCCAGGUGUAGCGGUGAAAUGCGUAGAGAUCUGGAGGAAUACCGGUGGCGAAGGCGGCCCCCGGGACGAAGACUGACGCUCAGGUGCGAAAGCGUGGGGAGCAAACAGG